rnacentral:misc_RNA from 1 species
AACUGAUACUACCUGCGGGAACCUGCGGAGGGAUCAUUACCGAGUCCGGGUCUUGCUCAGGCCCGACCUCCAACCCUUGUGUUAACCAUACCACGUUGCUUCGGCGGGCCCGCUCCUUUUCGGGGAGCCGCCGGGGGUUCUUCUAGCGACCUCUGGCCCGUUGCCCGUCGGUGGCCAACAUUCAAACUCUUGAUGAAAAACGUGUCGUCUGAGUAUAAACCAUAAAAUUAAAGCAAAAAA